UUUUUAAAGUUUUAAAUCAAUUAAACUACAUCAUCAAAAUAUACAUCACCUGUCAUCUAGAAAAGAGUCUUUGGAAAUUGUAAUGGAGGAGAUAAAACCAAAUAUUGUUGUUUUGACUGAGCAUAAUAUGACUAAAGGUUGAGACAGUCAAAAGAAUUAAAACAGCAGAUUAUAUUGAUUUAAGAAUUAAUAUAAAACAAUAGAAGAUUGAAGAAAGACAAGAGAAAUGGGAAAAUCCCCCAAGUGUAUUGAAAAAUACCUAAUAUUAUUCAUAUCAAGAUUUGACUACGAGAUGAUUAAAUGUUAAAUGAGGGAUGUAGCCAGUUAUCAUGUAUCUGUUGUACAUUUAAUAAGUCCUACAAACUGGUACUAUAUAAAUUCAUACAAUUCCCUAUGGUUUUUUGAGAUUUAUAAUAAGGGACUGCUUAUGUGAUGGAAUUCACAGUAGUAAAAAAUGCUGGAGUAAAAAUGUUAACUCACUCUAAAAACUUUCCUCUCAAAUGUCCAAUAUGUGAGCAAAGUUGUCCAUCUCAAUCUGCAAUGAAGGUCCAUAUAUUAUAUCACACUGGAGAGCGUCCCUUUAAAUGUUUGACAUGUGAGAAAACAUUUUUCCAACUAAACCAAGUAAAGAGUCAUUUGUUGAUACACUUUGGGAAGUCUCCUAUAUGUGGGGAAUCCAUUAAACUCCAAAGCCAUAUAAAGGAGCAUACGCAAAUUCAUACGAGACGCUAUAAGUGCACUACAUGUGAAAAAUCAUUUACUUUCAAAAGUGAUCUGAAGAGACAUACAUUUGUUCAUACAGGAGAGAGACCUUAUAAGUGCACUAUAUGUGAAAAAUCCUUUGCAAGAAUAGGCAAUAUGAAGACACACACAAUGGUCCAUACAGGUGAGAGACCUUAUAAGUGCACUGCAUGUGAAAAAUUAUUUACUUCCAGAAGUGAUCUGAAGAUACACACAUUUGUUCAUACAGGAGAGAGACCUUAUAAGUGCCCUAUAUGUGGAAAAUCCUUUACUUCCAAUAGUCAUAUGAAGAAACAUACAUUUGUUCAUACAGGGGAGAGACCUUAUAAGUGCUCUAUAUGCGAAAAAUCAUUUACUUCCAAAAGUGUUUUGAAGAAACAUACAUUUGUUCAUACAGGUGAGAGAUCAUAUAAGUGCACUACAUGUGGAAAAUCCUUUGCACAAAUAGGCAAUAUGAAGACACAUACAUUGGUUCAUACAGGGGAGAGACCUUAUAAGUGCUCUAUAUGUGGAAAAUCCUAUGCAAGAAUAGACAGUAUGAAGAAACAUACAUUGGUUCAUACAGGGGAGAGACCUUAUAAGUGCUCUAUAUGUGAAAAAUCCUUUGCUUCCAAAAGUGAUCUGAAGUCACAUACAUUUGUUCAUACAGGAGAGAGAUCAUAUAAGUGCAUUACAUGUGAAAAAUCAUUUACUUUCAAAAGUGAUCUUAAGAAACAUACAUUUGUUCAUACAGGGGAGAGACCUUAUAAGUGCUCUACAUGUGGAAAAUCCUUUGCACAAAUGGGCAGUAUGAAGAAACAUACAUUGGUUCAUACAGGGGAGAGACCUUAUAAGUGCUCUACAUGUGGAAAAUCCUUUGCACGAAUGUGCACUAUGAAGACACAUACAUUGGUUCAUACAGGGGAGAGACCUUAUAAGUGCUCUACAUGUGGAAAAUCCUUUGUACGAAUAGACUAUAUGCAGAAACAUACAUUGGUUCAUACAGGAGAGAGACCUUAUAAGUGCUCUACAUGUGGCAAAUCCUUUGCACGAAUAGACUAUAUGAAGACACAUACAUUGGUCCAUACAAGGGGAGAGACCCUAUAAGUGCUCUACAUGUGGAAAAUCCUUUGCAAGAAUAGGCAGUAUGAAGAGACAUACAUUGUUUCAUACAGGAGAGAGACUUUACAAGUGUAAACUAGUGUAAUAUGUGUGAAAAAUCUUUUACUUUCAAAUGUGCCAUGAAGAAACAUACAUUGGUUCACAGGAGAGAAACCUCAAGAGUGUACCACAUUUAAAAAGUUGUUUGCAUUCAUAAGCUGCAUGAAGAAGCUUUUUAAAAAGGUCAUAUUGAAGUACUGACCCACCUCAUCAACAUGACUUAAAUUUAAAAUUGGCAAAAAAUUCAAAAACAAAAUUGUUAUCCAUUCAAAGUUUUAAAUCAAUUAAAAUAUUUCAUCAAAAUAUUCAACACCUCUCAUCUAGAAAAGAGUCUUUGGGAAUUGGAAUGGAGGAGAUAAAACCAAAUAUUGUUAUUUUGACUGAGCGUAAUAUGACUAAAGGUUGAGACAGUUAAAAGAAUUAAAACAGCAAAUUAUAUUGAUUUAAGAACUAAUAUAAAACAAUAGAAGAUCGAAGAAAGACAAGAGAAUUGGGAAAAUCCCCCAAGUUUAUUGAAAAAUACCUAAUAUUAUUCAUAUCAAGAUUUGACUACGAGAUGAUUAAAUGUUAAAUGAGGGAUGUAGCCUGUCCUAUCAUGUAUCUGUUGUACAUUUAAUAAGUCCUACAAACUGGUACUAUUUCUGAUAAGGGACUGCUUAUGUGAUAUUCACAGUGAUAAAAAGUGCUAGAGUAAAAAUGUUAACUGACUCUAAAAAAUUUCCUCUCAAAUGUCCAAUAUGUGAGCAAAGUUGUCCAUCUCAAUCUGCAAUGAAGGUCCAUAUAUUAUAUCACACCGGAGAGCGCCCCUUUAAAUGUUUGACAUGUGAGAAAACAUUUUUCCAACUAAACCAAGUAAAGAGUCAUUUGUUGAUACACUUUGGGAAGUCUCCUGUAUUAGGGGAAUCCAUUAAACUCCAAAGCCAUAUGAAGGAGCAUACACAAAUUCAUACAAGACCCUAUAAGUGCACUACAUGUGGAAAAUCCUUUACAACAAUUGGUAGUAUGAAGAGACAUACAUUGGUCCAUACAGGUGAGAGACCUUAUAAGUGCACUACAUGUGAAAAAUCAUUUACUUUCAAAAGUGUUCUGAAGAAACACACAUUUGUUCAUACAGGGGAGAGACCUUAUAAGUGCACUACGUGUGGAAAAUCCUUUGCACGAAUAGACAAUAUGAAGACACAUAUAUUUGUCCAUACAGGUGAGAGACAUUAUAAGUGCACUAUGUGUGAAAUAUCAUUUACUUCCAUAAGUGAUCUGAAGAAACAUACAUUUGUUCAUACACGAGAGA